GAGUUUGAUCAUGGCUCAGAUUGAACGCUGGCGGCAUGCCUUACACAUGCAAGUCGAACGGUAACGGGUUAAGCCGACGAGUGGCGAACGGGUGAGUAAUAUAUCGGAACGUGCCCAAUCGUGGGGGAUAACGCAGCGAAAGUUGUGCUAAUACCGCAUAAGAUCUACGGAUGAAAGCGGGGGAUCGCAAGACCUCGCGCGAGUGGAGCGGCCGAUAUCAGAUUAGCUAGUUGGUGAGGUAAAGGCUCACCAAGGCGACGAUCUGUAGCUGGUCUGAGAGGACGACCAGCCACACUGGGACUGAGACACGGCCCAGACUCCUACGGGAGGCAGCAGUGGGGAAUUUUGGACAAUGGGCGCAAGCCUGAUCCAGCAAUGCCGCGUGCAGGAUGAAGGCCUUCGGGUUGUAAACUGCUUUUGUACGGAGCGAAAAGGUCUGCCCUAAUACGGUGGGCUCAUGACGGUACCGUAAGAAUAAGCACCGGCUAACUACGUGCCAGCAGCCGCGGUAAUACGUAGGGUGCAAGCGUUAAUCGGAAUUACUGGGCGUAAAGCGUGCGCAGGCGGUUAUAUAAGACAGAUGUGAAAUCCCCGGGCUCAACCUGGGCACUGCAUUUGUGACUGUAUAGCUAGAGUACGGUAGA
rnacentral:rRNA from 1 species